rnacentral:rRNA from 1 species
GAUGAACGCUGGCGGCGUGCCUAAUACAUGCAAGUCGAGCGAACGGACGAGAAGCUUGCUUCUCUGAUGUUAGCGGCGGACGGGUGAGUAACACGUGGAUAACCUACCUAUAAGACUGGGAUAACUUCGGGAAACCGGAGCUAAUACCGGAUAAUAUUUUGAACCGCAUGGUUCAAAAGUGAAAGACGGUCUUGCUGUCACUUAUAGAUGGAUCCGCGCUGCAUUAGCUAGUUGGUAAGGUAACGGCUUACCAAGGCAACGAUGCAUAGCCGACCUGAGAGGGUGAUCGGCCACACUGGAACUGAGACACGGUCCAGACUCCUACGGGAGGCAGCAGUAGGGAAUCUUCCGCAAUGGGCGAAAGCCUGACGGAGCAACGCCGCGUGAGUGAUGAAGGUCUUCGGAUCGUAAAACUCUGUUAUUAGGGAAGAACAUAUGUGUAAGUAACUGUGCACAUCUUGACGGUACCUAAUCAGAAAGCCACGGCUAACUACGUGCCAGCAGCCGCGGUAAUACGUAGGUGGCAAGCGUUAUCCGGAAUUAUUGGGCGUAAAGCGCGCGUAGGCGGUUUUUUAAGUCUGAUGUGAAAGCCCACGGCUCAACCGUGGAGGGUCAUUGGAAACUGGAAAACUUGAGUGCAGAAGAGGAAAGUGGAAUUCCAUGUGUAGCGGUGAAAUGCGCAGAGAUAUGGAGGAACACCAGUAGCGAAGGCGACUUUCUGGUCUGUAACUGACGCUGAUGUGCGAAAGCGUGGGGAUCAAACAGGAUUAGAUACCCUGGUAGUCCACGCCGUAAACGAUGAGUGCUAAGUGUUAGGGGGUUUCCGCCCCUUAGUGCUGCAGCUAACGCAUUAAGCACUCCGCCUGGGGAGUACGACCGCAAGGUUGAAACUCAAAGGAAUUGACGGGGACCCGCACAAGCGGUGGAGCAUGUGGUUUAAUUCGAAGCAACGCGAAGAACCUUACCAAAUCUUGACAUCCUUUGACAACUCUAGAGAUAGAGCUUUCCCCUUCGGGGGACAAAGUGACAGGUGGUGCAUGGUUGUCGUCAGCUCGUGUCGUGAGAUGUUGGGUUAAGUCCCGCAACGAGCGCAACCCUUAAGCUUAGUUGCCAUCAUUAAGUUGGGCACUCUAAGUUGACUGCCGGUGACAAACCGGAGGAAGGUGGGGAUGACGUCAAAUCAUCAUGCCCCUUAUGAUUUGGGCUACACACGUGCUACAAUGGACAAUACAAAGGGCAGCGAAACCGCGAGGUCAAGCAAAUCCCAUAAAGUUGUUCUCAGUUCGGAUUGUAGUCUGCAACUCGACUACAUGAAGCUGGAAUCGCUAGUAAUCGUAGAUCAGCAUGCUACGGUGAAUACGUUCCCGGGUCU